rnacentral:rRNA from 1 species
AGUGAACGCUGGCGGUAGGCCUAACACAUGCAAGUCGAACGGCAGCACAGGAGAGCUUGCUCUCUGGGUGGCGAGUGGCGGACGGGUGAGGAAUACAUCGGAAUCUACUCUGUCGUGGGGGAGAACGUAGGGAAACUUACGCUAAUACCGCAUACGACCUACGGGUGAAAGCAGGGGACCUUCGGGCCUUGAGCGAUUGAAUGAGUCGAUGUCGGAUUAGCUAGUUGGCAGGGUAAUGGCCCACCAAGGCGACGAUCCGUUGCUGGUCUGAGAGGAUGAGCAGCCACACUGGAACUGAGACACAGUCCAGACUCCUACGGGAGGCAGCAGUGGGGAAUAUUGGACAAUGGGCGCAAGCCUGAUCCAGCCAUACCGCGUGGGUGAAGAAGGCCUUCGGGUUGUAAAGCCCUUUUGUUGGGAAAGAAAUCCAGCUGGCUAAUACCCGGUUGGAAUGACGGUACCCAAAGAAUAAGCACCGGCUAACUUCGUGCCAGCCGCCGCAGUAA